GACAUGGAUGAAUCUAGAAACCAUCAUUCUCAGCAAACUGACGCAAGAACAGAAAACCAAACAUCGAGUGUUUUCACUCAUAAGCAGGUGACGAACAAUGAGAACACUUGGGCACAGGGAAGAGGACAACACUCACUGUGGGCCUGAACCAGGAUCACCAAGAAAGAAGGAAGAUCUCUUCCUACUGUGACACUCCACCAACAAGUAAGAGCCCAGAACUCUUCUCUGAAUCCAGCCGUUUGCCAGACAUCUAAAGGGGCAGACCCCUUACUACUAACACCUGCUUUUCUUAAAACAAUCAACAAUCAAGUACAUUUAAUGGGUUUCCCCUUUAUUAUAAAGUAAUGGAUAUCUACUUUGAAAUUUUUAACACAACACAUCAGUAAAAAUAUAGAAAAGUAA